rnacentral:rRNA from 1 species
AUUGAACGCUGGCGGCAGGCCUAACACAUGCAAGUCGAGCGGAGCGGCGGAAGGGUGAGUAAUGCCUAGGAAUCUGCCUGGUAGUGGGGGAUAACGUCCGGAAACGGGCGCUAAUACAGCAUACUAUCAGAUGAGCCUAGGGCGGAGUUGCUAGUUGUGGGGGUAAAGGACUACAAGGGGGACGAUCCGUAACUGGUCUGAGAGGAUGAUCAGUCAACCGGGAAAGGAGCCACGGUCCAGAUCCCUACGGAAGGAAGCAGUGGGUAAUAGUGGACAAUGGGUGAAAGCCUGAUCCAGCCAGGCCGCGUGUGUGAAGAAGGUCUUCGGAUUGUAAAGCACUUUAAGUUGGGAGGCGUGACCAACAGAAUAAGCCCCGGCUAACUUCGUGCCAGCAGCCGCGGUAAUUC